rnacentral:rRNA from 1 species
UACAGAGGUCUCAAGCGUUGUUCGGAUUCAUUGGGCGUAAAGGGUGCGUAGGUGGCGUCGUAAGUCGGGUGUGAAAUUUCGGAGCUUAACUCCGAAACUGCAUUCGAUACUGCGGUGCUUGAGGACUGGAGAGGAGACUGGAAUUUACGGUGUAGCAGUGAAAUGCGUAGAGAUCGUAAGGAAGACCAGUGGCGAAGGCGAGUCUCUGGACAGUUACUGACACUGAGGCACGAAGGCCAGGGGAGCAAACGGG